rnacentral:rRNA from 1 species
AAAUUGAAGAGUUUGAUCAUGGCUCAGAUUGAACGCUGGCGGCAGGCCUAACACAUGCAAGUCGAACGGUAACAGGAAACAGCUUGCUGUUUCGCUGACGAGUGGCGGACGGGUGAGUAAUGUCUGGGGAACUGCCUGAUGGAGGGGGAUAACUACUGGAAACGGUAGCUAAUACCGCAUAAUGUCGCAAGACCAAAGAGGGGGACCUUAGGGCCUCUUGCCAUCGGA